AUACGUAGGGGGCGAGCGUUGUCCGGAAUGACUGGGCGUAAAGGGCGUGUAGGCGGCUGUCUAAGUCUGGAGUGAAAGUCCUGCUUUCAAGGUGGGAAUUGCUUUGGAGACUGGAUGGCUUGAGUGCGGAAGAGGUAAGUGGAAUUCCCAGUGUAGCGGUGAAAUGCGUAGAGAUUGGGAGGAACACCAGUGGCGAAGGCGACUUACUGGGCCGUAACUGACGCUGAGGCGCGAAAGCGUGGGGAGCGAACAGGAUUAGAUACCCUGGUAGUCCACGCGGUAAACGAUGAAUGCCAGGUGUUGCGGGUAUCGACCCCUGCAGUGCCGGAGUAAACACAAUAAGCAUUCCGCCUGGGGAGUACGGCCGCAAGGUUGAAACUCAAAGGAAUUGGCGGGG
rnacentral:rRNA from 1 species